UGGGGCGUCGCCAAGCGGUAAGGCACGGGUCUUUGGAUCCCGCACUCGGAGGUUCGAAUCCUCCCGCCCCAGCCA
rnacentral:tRNA from 1 species